GCGCGCCUGCCUCACCAAGACUCCGCCUGACACCCCGAGUCGCCGAACCCCGGCAGCGGCCACUUUUAUAGCUAAGGGGUGACCACGCCGUGCCUGCUCGUCUGUUUCGGUCAACAGUGUCUACUCUUCGGAUUGGAACCCUGCUAGGGGAUCCCUCCUCCCAUUUCAAACAGAAACUAGCCAUUAAGUAAACACCCGUUCCUGUUGGCUUAUUUUGGUCCACAGUUAGGAGGGAUCCAACAGGAGUUUCUUGAUGAAAUUGCGCUUUCAAAGACCAGAUGCUGUUUGGCUGACUUGAAGAAACGCAUGCCCCCUCCUCUGGUUCUAGUUUUCGCGUGGUUACGUCCUGUUGUUUUGAAGCAAACGAACUGUCACAUGCCACACAAUGAGACUUCCCCCAUCACUUUAAAAAAAGGAAAGAAAAGCCCUAAACGUAAAUAAGCCUAGCAGAGACAGCGCCCGGGUCUGCCUCCAGUCUGGGCUCUGUGCUGUUUUUGUUCGGUAACCUCGGUGGAGAUCCCGGCAGAAGAAACUCUGUGGAAAUAAGAUUAAACCCGAGGAGUACUAAGACGGCCAAGGGAUAACUAACUCGACUUCGGAGCGUCUGUUUCAGGAACUAGAGCUAGCCUGCCACCCUCCCUCAAAAAAAAAAAAAAAAAAAAAGACACCCCCGCCCCUAGAAUGCGUGGAGGCCAGAGUUUAAAAAGCCUGGGUGGUUUUUCCAAUUACAGGACUAAAAUGAAUCAACAGGGAAAAAAAGCGUCUCUCUAAGAAGGCAGCAACCUUACGAUUUUUUUCUUCUGUGGUUUGCUGACUGCUCGGGACAGAAGAGAACACACACCUAAAACGGCUCGGGGGGAGCGCGGUCCUGGGGACAAGCCACCCGCCCGGACGCUGCCCUGCAACUGCCGGGAGCACAGUUCCUUCCCGGACCUGGCUGCAGAUGAAUCAGCUGCUGCGCCCGGUGCGGGACAGAUGUGGCGCAGGGAGGGGGCCAGCGCCCCCGCCGCCCGUUAGAGGGGGCCGCCUCGCUAUUUCGUUUGAAGGGUUGUCUGUGGCUGGGAUUGGUGGCUCCUAUCCGCUGGGGAGCCGGGAGCGGAGGGAGGAGAGACGCAGGGAGGAGGAGCCGGGGGCUGGGCGACGCUGCGACUCCGCGGCCUGAGUGGCAGGAGCCUCGUCUGGAACCGGGCGGUUACUGGGGAGACGCUUUGUUUGCUAACUUCGAAAGCGGCUUCGGCUGCCUCGGCCGCUUUCGAAGCCACUCCACAAAACACGCCUUCGGCACACAUAGUUCCUUUUGGCGUCUUAUCUUCUGAAGCUGCCUCAAGGCCAAGCAAAGAAAGUUGUUAAAAAGUUAAGUUACUUUUCACAGCCUGCAAACCCUUCAAAGGUCCACCAAGUGAAGAUUGGAGGAUGUAUUUGUUUCUUCUACUCAACAACAAUUGAUAAAGCAUGAGUUCCAUCAAGGACUGUGUUCUAGGUGGAGAAAGGGUGACUCACCCAGUCAUUGGAUCUCUUUCACUUCCAGUCUCUGGAAGGCAGAUAUCUUUAUAAAAUAUGCAGACAGCUAGGCUCUAAACACUGGACAAGAGGUCUGUAAUCAUCCAGUCACAUCUCAGGUCAGAGGGUCUUGGACUGCUUAAGAAAGAGCUGACCAUUGUCUUAAGAACCUGGGGUGGCCUAGAGCCAUCUUGAGGUGAUUUUAUCAGCCCCAUCAGGAUAAUUCUCCUCAGCUUCCUUGCAUGAAUAGUGUAACUGGUGCUACUACUUUUGUUUUUAGUCACUUUUCCUAGCCUGCACUUCCCUUCCCGGCCCUCCUUUUUCCUCUGUAGCCAAGUCAUCACUUCUCUUUACCUAAAUGAGUUUUGGAAUCCAGGGGAUAAAACGAAAAGAUAGGCAGGGCGCUGUGGCUCACACCUGUAAUCCCACCACUUUGGGAGGCCGAGGUGGGUGGAUCACCUGAGGUCAGGAGUUUGAGACCAGCCUGACCAAUAUGGUGAAACCCCAUCUCUACUAAAAAUACAAAAAUUAGCCGGGCGUGGUGGCGUGUGACUGUAGUCCCAGCUACUUGGGAGGCUGAGACAGGAGGGUUGCUUGAACCUGGGAGACAGAGGUUGCAGAAAGCUGAGAUCGUGCCAUUGCACUCCAGCCUGGGUGACAGAGCAAGACUCUGUCUCAAAAACAAAAACAAAAAAACGGAAAGAUAAUUCCUUGAGCACAAGCUUCACUCUCCUUAUUCUCAACAUCUGUGUCUGUAUUAUUCUUUACAGUUUAUGAAACACUUAUUUAAUCUCACUUAAUGCCCAAACUAGUGAUGUUAGUUAUUUUUUUUAAAAAGUCAAGAUCACUUAACACAUCCAAAUAUAACAAAGUUAAAAGGCAUAAAACUGGGUACCCAACAUAAAUUAUCUGAUUAUAAAUCAAGUGGUCUCUGGGAAAUCUUGUCAUUUCAGAAGGUCAGAUGGAUGUGGAGGGCAGAAACUAACCUCAGAUUAUGCCAGGGACGCCAGGGCCUCCUGAACACUGUGGGGGGUUGUGCUCUGAAAUCUACCUCCAGUUUUACAAGAAGCUCUCUUCCAAUCUGUCUGCGCUUUUUUUUUUUUUUUUUUUUUUGCU
rnacentral:lncRNA from 1 species